rnacentral:tRNA from 1 species
GGUGGCUCAGCUGUAGAGCACUUGCCUUGCAUGCAUGAGACCCUGGGUUCAAUUCCUCAGCACCA